rnacentral:rRNA from 1 species
AGGGUUUGAUCAUGGCUCAGAACGUACGCUGGCGGCACGCCUAACACAUGCAAGUCGAACGAAGUAGCAAUACUUAGUGGCAGACGGGUGAGUAACAUGUGGGUAUCUGCCCUUUGGCCUGGAAUAACACGAGGAAACUUGUGCUAAUACCGGAUAAGUCUUUACGGAGAAAGCUUUAUGCACCAUCGGAUGAGCCCGCACUUGAUUAGUUUGUUGGUGGGGUAAUGGCCUACCAAGACUGUGAUCAAUAGCUGAUUUGAGAGGAUGAUCAGCCACAUUGGGACUGAGACACGGCCCAAACUCCUACGGGAGGCAGCAGUGGGGAAUCUUGCACAAUGGAGGAAACUCUGAUGCAGCGAUGCCGCGUGAGUGAAGAAGGCCCUUGGGUUGUAAAGCUCUUUCGUCGGGGAAGAAAAUGACUGUACCCGAAUAAGAAGGUCCGGCUAACUUCGUGCCAGCAGCCGCGGUAAUACGAAGGGACCUAGCGUAGUUCGGAAUUACUGGGCUUAAAGAGUUCGUAGGUGGUUGAAAAAGUUAGUGGUGAAAUCCCAGAGCUUAACUCUGGAACUGCCAUUAAAACUUUUCAGCUAGAGUAUGAUAGAGGAAAGCAGAAUUUCUAGUGUAGAGGUGAAAUUCGUAGAUAUUAGAAAGAAUACCAAUUGCGAAGGCAGCUUUCUGGAUCAUUACUGACACUGAGGAACGAAAGCAUGGGUAGCGAAGAGGAUUAGAUACCCUCGUAGUCCAUGCCGUAAACGAUGUGUGUUAGACGUUGGAAAUUUAUUUUCAGUGUCGCAGCGAAAGCGAUAAACACACCGCCUGGGGAGUACGACCGCAAGGUUAAAACUCAAAUGAAUUGACGGGGACCCGCACAAGUAGUGGAGCAUGUGGUUUAAUUCGAAGAUACGCGCAGAACCUUACCAACACUUGACAUGUUCGUCGCGACUCUAAGAGAUUAGAGUUUUCGGUUCGGCCGGACGAAACACAGGUGCUGCAUGGCUGUCGUCAGCUCGUGUCGUGAGAUGUUGGGUUAAGUCCCGCAACGAGCGCAACCCUCACUUUUAGUUGCCAUCAUUAAGUUGGGCACUCUGAAAGAACUGCCAGUGAUAAGCUGGAGGAAGGUGGGGAUGACGUCAAGUCCUCAUGGCCCUUACGUGUUGGGCUACACACGUGCUACAAUGGUAUCUACAACAGGAAGCAAGACUGCGAGGUCAAGCAAAUCCUUAAAAGAUACCUCAGUUCGGAUUGCACUCUGCAACUCGAGUGCAUGAAGCUGGAAUUACUAGUAAUCGUGGAUCAGCGUGCCACGGUGAAUGCGUUCCCGGGUCUUGUACACACCGCCCGUCACACCAUGGGAGUUGGUUCUACCUUAAGGCAAGGUUUCAAACCCUUGACCACGGUAUAGUCAGCGACUGGGGUGAAGUCAUAACAAGGUAGCCGUA